GUAUUCCGCUCCAUAGCGUAUAUUAAAGUUGUUGCAGUUAAAAAGCUCGUAGUUGAAUUUCGGGAUCAGUUUGUUGGUCGUGCUUCGGUACGUACUGUCAUUACUGGUUUCUACCUUCUGAAGAACCUUGAUGUCAUUAAUUUGGUGUCUUGGGGAAUCAGGACUGUUACUUUGAAAAAAUUAGAGUGUUUAAAGCAAGCAUACGCUUGAAUACAUUAGCAUGGAAUAAUGAAAUAGGACGUUUGAUUCUAUUUUGUUGGUUUCUAGGAUCGACGUAAUGAUUAAUAGGGAUAGUUGGGGGCAUUAGUAUUCAAUUGUCAGAGGUGAAAUUCUUGGAUUUAUUGAAGACUAACUACUGCGAAAGCAUUUGCCAAGGAUGUUUUCAUUAAUCAAGAACGAAAGUUAGGGGAUCGAAGACGAUCAGAUACCGUCGUAGUCUUAACCAUAAACUAUGCCGACUAGGGAUCGGAUGAUGUUAUUUUUAAUGACUCAUUCGGCGCCUUACGGGAAACA
rnacentral:rRNA from 1 species